GCUUCUUUGUUUGCUAAAGCAACCAAUCUAAAUCACAACCCCUUCACCCAAUAAUAUAUCUGAAAAGUUGAAUCGUUGGGGGAAUUUUGAGUUUGUUCAUCCAAGCGUUUUUCAAACGCGAGACAUGUUAUGUGCAGAAACAUUUCUGAAGCAUUCGAUGCAGGCUAGGAUGAUUUGUUAAACUCAACCAAGGUGUUGCACCUCUAGACUAAUAAGAAGCCAUGGUUGAGUGAGCAUCCACGUGAUCAAAAGGAUCGAUUUCGAUGGUGAUAUGAACUCGAAGACGCUGGAGCAGGAACCACUCUUUCUUUGACUAUGGAUGCUUUUGAGGAAAUUGCAUAUUCAAACUCAAAAAGGGAUGGUCUGUAUGAAUUUGAUUUGAAACCUUCUUUAAAGGCGCUUUCUUUAAUCUCUAUGUUUUUGGUUCUGUCAGUAUCGCUUUCAAAUUAGCUUAUUGGAAUAAAAAGCCAAGGCCUGCAGAAGCUGGACCUGGAUAGGGGACUGGUCGUUAGGGGAUGGAAACAGGAGCUUGCUGGCUGGAGGACAGGAGUGGUCAUGGUCACAUUGAUGGGCUCAUUUGUUAAACACUUAUUUAUCAUGUUGAUUAGUAUUACUUUAUGAUACAAUAAUGCUUCCGCUGAACUUAUGGUUUUGGAUAACUUAUGAUUGGGAUUUCAGUAUAA